rnacentral:rRNA from 1 species
CUGGCUCUGUCAGGGUCCGAGUUGUAAUUUGGAGAGGAUGCUUCGGGUGUGGCCCCGGUCUAAGUUCCUUGGAACAGGACGUCACAGAGGGUGAGAAUCCCGUACGUGCCCGGUGGCCGCCCCCGUGUGAAGCUCCUUCGACGAGUCGAGUUGUUUGGG